UUAUAAACAUGAUAAUCUUCUGUGUUUCUGCUAAACUUGAGGGAGAUUCCUGCUUUAACUUUACAGUCCAACUUAUGCUCCCUUUCUGCUGAUAGGACUGUGAAAGUGUAGCAUAAAAAGUUGCAGCAAAAUCAAUUUUGCUCUGGCAUUACACUGCAAGUACCUUUGCCGAGUAGAGCUUAUGUUGCAGAAAAGAGAAAACAGAAAUGAGUUUCAAUGGUUGGAUGAAGGCCAGCUUAUAAAGUUCUGGGUCACCACAUCGUUUGCUGUCUAAUAUCCGUCCUAAAGGAUGCAUCUUGUUGAUUUGAUGAAAAUGAUUUUGAAGAGACUGAGUAUUCACUCUCUUUCAAAGUACCUCAUAGUUUUCCAUGCUUCAUAAGCCAUUAAAGGCAUUGAACCAAUGACCACUCCAACCAUGGAGAAAUCAGAAAUAAAACUUUACAUAUGUUGGUUGUUCACUUUAUAUAUGUUGUGUUUUAUAUUCAUAUCAUCUUUCUUACUAUAUAUUCUUUUCAAAUUGGAUUUUUUCCCAACAAAACUAGACAUAAGAGUACAAUAAGACUAGACCUAAGUGAAGAGUAUGAUUAGUGUCAGAAUCUUUGCUGAUGACAGUUGGCAGUAGGCACUAACUGUUGCUAACAGACAUGGUAACUGCCUAAGGGUCAAAAGACUUGUAUAGCAAGCCAUCCACCUUCUAUAUAUAUGUAUAUCAUAAGUGAUCUAUCUCUUGUUUCGGUAGAAUAACACAACCACCACAGCAGCAAAGCCUUAUUCUACUAGGUGGGUCAGUUAUAUGGAUCAAAUCACGACAUUCCACCACCCUGUUGUACCUCA